rnacentral:tRNA from 1 species
GGACCGGUUGUCUAGUGGCUAGGAUGACGCCCUCACACGGCGUAAAGAUGUAAAAAUCUCGCUAAGGUCAUGGGUUCAAAUCCCAUCCGGUCCA